UCACCAAGCACCUGGAUAUAUUUUGCUCUAUAGAGAUGGGAAUUAUGUGGAAUUUAACGAUUAAUGAUUUCAGGUCCGUGACGGAUGCACUGACGAUCUCUUUUGUUAAUUAUUAUGGGAGAAACAAUGCACAUUGUUUAAAAACCAAUUCCUAUCCACGACGCCCCUUGUGUAGUAAUUUGUUUUACAAAAUUAGUUUUUUUUAUUUUUCAAAAAGUAUAUAAUUUCUGUUCUUUUGAACUUGCUAUUUAUCAAAGAAUCCUAAAAUUUGUUUUAUUUGUUUCCACAAAAAUAUGAAGCAGUUUUCAACAUUGAUAAUAUUAAUAAAUGUUUCUUGAGCAGCAAAUCAGCUUAUAUAAUGAUUUCUGAAGCAUCACUGGAGAAAUGAUGCUGAAAAUUCAGCUUUGAUCGCAGAAAUAAAUGACAUUUUUACAUAUAUUCAAAUAGAAAACCGUUAUUUUAAAUUAGAAAAAUAUUUCACAAUAUUGCUGUAUAACAAUAUUUUUACUGUAUUUUUUUUUUUUUUUUAAUAAAUGCAGCCUUGGUGAGCAGAAGAGAUUCUUUCAAAAACAUGAAAAAAAUAUACCAUAUCCUGUUUUAUUUGCAAGUGUCAGAUUAUAGAUGUAAACUGGGUUGCAAAAACAGUCUCAUGUUGAUUUUAACCUGCAUUUCCUGUUCUUUACUACCUCUUUUAAUUCUAACCACUAACCAAUCAAGUCUUCUUUUCAGCUGCAUCAUAACACCUUCAUGUUAGCCCUCUAUGAUUUGACAAUCUGCCAUGUGAAUGUAUGUAUAUUAACAGCACAUGUGUUUGUUUCUCAAAGGAAAGCCCAUGUCCCUCCUCACUCCCUACUGAUGGAAAGCACUUUUUCCUUUCCAAGACUGUGUCAAGUCAGGAUUUAAACCCCUUUAAGAAUAUGGUGCCUCAGAUAAGAGUCGAUUUGGACCCCGAGAACAACAAAUUCUUCUGGAAAACUCCAGCCUCCGAAACGUCUCUUUAAACACUCCUGAAAACACUUUCACAAAUACACUUUUAGGUCCAGAGGAUUUUUGGUCAGUCAGCAAAAGAAAAAACUUUGCUAGAAUGUUUCUUUUUAAAGUCCAACAAAAAAAAAAAGACGAAUGUUAUUUCUACACUACAACCAAUAGCUCCACAAACACAAACUCUUUACCAAAGAAUUUUUUAAAACUUGCUUUAAUAUUUUCGCUCCUUUUGUAUGUCCUUCUGACGUUUUGGUAGCAUUACUGUUGGAAAGUUGAAAAAAAGUAUUUUUAGGUUCUGGGUCCAGACUGAUUUUUUUUUUUUUUUUUUUUUUACAAUUUUUAAACUUUUAUAACGUUAUUAUUUUUUUAAACAAGAAGCAUGCCAGAAUCAUGUUAUAACCAGUCUUAAUAAUGUAGAAAAUAUUGAAAUAAGAAAUUUGAGGUUUGAGUUUUCUAUUAAAUUACUGCACUUCAUUCAAAUGAGCAUAUUAGAUCAAAUUUUCAAAAAAAUAUAAAUGAACAAAUUCACUUUUCUAUGGAAGUCACAGAAUACGAAAAAAAAAAAUGGUAAUUGUUAAUUAUUUCUCAAUUCUUUUCUUUUUUUCAUAGAUCACAAUUCCGAAUGUUAUUCUUAGAAUUCUGAGUUUUUAUCUGACAAUUCUGAGAAUUUUUUUUUAAAUUGCAGAAUUGCAAGAACAAAUUAGAAUUGUGAGAUAAAAGGCCACAAUUACCAGUUGUGUAAACAGGCUUAAAUAGUUUUUGUUGAUGCUUUUAUUAUGUUUUAUUUUCCCUCCGAAAACUCAAACCUUUAGUCUUUUAGAAGUGUAUUUAAGCAUAUAUUAUUACUAAACCACAAUGGUGGCUGUAACUAUUCAUCCCAAUAAGGGAAACUGCAGUUUUAAAGAAAUUUUUUUCUCCUGUUUUUCUAAAGACACUUAAAGUGGGAAACACUCAUGAAGACAAUGAAUAUGAUGUUCUAGUUCUACCUCUUAUAAUGGACUGUAGGUGCCAGGCACUCUGUGUUUGAGUGAAGCAUUUCUCUAUGCAGCAUGGAGCGGAUGUCGACGGCAAUCUUAAAGUCACAUGACUGGAAGAGUGGGAACUGUGUUUGACGCCUCUUGACUAAAAUCACACCUUUUGUGAACUCCAGAUCUGUUCCUUUGAUCAUAAAUGACAAUCCAUAACAGGGCGGAUACUUUCAAUGUGAUUGCGUUCAAUGUAUUUACUAUGAAGCAGAUGAUUUGUGGUGAUUUUAUUAUCUGGAUAUUUUUAUUGUACUUUAAUUUUUUUCAAAAAAAGAAGCAAUGCUGUUGAUAGCGACGUCUUUUAUACUGAGAUGAAACGUUGAGGGGUGUAAUGACUCAAUAAAUGAGAUUUAAUGUGGAACAGCUGCACCGAGUGACAGCAAUAUGCAAUGUAUGUGGGAACUUAAAUACUGCCAUUAAGACAGAUCACUUUCUCUUAUGAUCAGCACAAGGAUAUUUCAGUCGGCAGAUCUGAUGUAGAAUAUUUUUUAAACAUCACAACAUAUAUAUCUAUCUAUAUAUAAACUCCAAAUCAGUGUUUGUACAUAGAUCUUUUUAUCAUCAUCAUCUCUAAUCAAUAAUGUCUUCCAUUCUUUUGAUUGAAUUGCAUUGCCUGUGCAUUUUCAAGGACUGAACUGUUUUAGCCAGAUGCAUAUAGUGUGAAAUAAAUCAUUUCUUUUAGAUGCACUUUUUUUUAAACCUAAAAUUGAGAUGCAUUUACUGUCCUUAAUUCUCUUGUGGAAGCUGUCUUACUCUCUGAUUAUGACGCUACAGGCAAUAAUGAGAUUAACAGUUGAUCGCUGUUCUGUAAAAGGGAAUCACUCUGUAGCACUGUGAGGCGAUGGGCAAAUUAAAGCAAUUAUUAAACCA